rnacentral:lncRNA from 1 species
AUCUGUCUUUGGAUAGCGAGUAUGUCGUGACUGUCAUGGCACUGCCCGUCCCUGAGCGGUGGGACCAGUUCUAUAAGAGGAAACAGUUUUUCACACGCAGUAAGAGUUUACAAGAAUAAACAAAUCCUGUAAUUAGUUUUAUAGCUAUUAACAGUGUUGACAACCUGCCACUGCAUGUUUAUGGAAUAAGUUGUCAAAUGCUUGAGUUUUAAUAAACCUGUCAAAUGCUUAUGUGUUUUCAGCAUGUCCUGAAAAAAAUGGUCUUGAAGAGUGUAAGAAAGACUGGUAUCCCAGAUACGUUGAAGUCCACCAGGAGAACCGGGACGUUUAUGUGACCUUUAACCUUGCGCCUGAGAACUUCAAAGUCCAUCAGUAUUUUUCAUCAUGUUUCGGAGGUGGCCUACGUAAUUACACAAGCAUUAAACCAGUGAGUUUUUGUUAACAAUAUAUACGUUUGUACAAUAUCUGUAAUGUAGAUGUUAUUG